CAGUGUCUGAUCUAUUGGCACUUGCUGUCCCUUUGCUAUGAUGCCAGAGGUAUGUAAAAGACUUUACUGAGAUGUUAUCUGUAAAGUCAGAAGGUGGAAGCAUAUGCCUUUAAUCCCAGCACUUAGGAGACAGAGGCAGGCAGAUCUGAGUUCAAGGCCAGCCUGUUCUACAGGUCAAGUUCCAGGAUGUCCAGGGAUGCAUACAGAGAAAUCCUGUCUCAACCACCCCCUACAAAAAAUUACAUAAGACUCCUGGGUCAGCCAAUGUCAUUUAAAAAGAUGUCAUCUGUACAGAGGCCAAGCCUCAUGCAGGACAUGGGCACAUGGGCCUCAUUAGAGGAUCCAUGAGGAUCUAAUGAGGAUCCAGUUGCUGAGCAUGUUCUGUGUCAGGUCUGUGCACCGUCAAUCCACUUCUGAUGCCUCCACUUUACAGUUGAGAAAUGUGAGACCCAGGAGGCCAAGGCUCCACAGGACUUAGGGAGUAAUGCUGAACCAGGCCAUUGUACUCGAUUCCUGAGAACCAUGUCAUCAGAUAGCCAGUAAUUCUCCUGCGACAGGAAUCUCAAGUCCCCUGCUUGACACUUAAAACACACACACACACACACAUAUGACGGGAAUUUGUAAAUGGAUACGGGUUUAUUUAUAGUCUUUACCAGAACUAGGAAGAGAAAAUUUCUCAGUUUCGCUCCACCUAUAAAUUGGAAAAGUACAUUGCAAUUUACAAAGGAAAUUAAACAGAAGCAAGGAAAAUACAAUGAAGCUUUAGCUGUUAGAUACUUUGUUAUCAGAGCUGUGGGAUGUUGUGGCAUUGUUGGGAGCAACUUUGCCUUCAGCCCAUCUCCUCCUAGCAUAAAAUUUUCUAGAGAAAGUUUUUGUUUUGUUUUGGACUCUUGCCAAGCUACUAUGCCACCAUACCGACAUGUCCCUCUGUCACUUAUAACAUAGAAGUGUGGCCCACCAUAGAGGCAGAAGUUGUACCAGACCCAUGGCACAGGUGAAGCGUCUCGUCCCCCAGAGCACACUGGUCCAGAUCUAGAAAUAUUCCAGCCUCAGUCUCAGCAAGAAGGACUGCCUCUCCGUACUCCCAGGACAAGAGACUCAAACCACUGCCGUGGGAUACAGUUGACAAGUACGAAAAACACUGGGGAAAAACACUGUCUUCAGUUCUGAACGCGCACAGAUGAACAAGAGCCUAGACUUAGCAGUGGGGUGACCCCAGGAUGUGAGACUAAUCCAGGUGGUGACACCGAGAUUACUGUUGUCUCAACAGUGUCUCACAUUUCUUUGGCUCUGUGCUGUUCUCUGUACUUCAGCUUAUAAAGUCUCUUCUGUUCUACUGUCAAAUUUCCCCAUCUUCUUCCAGCUCAACGCUGCUGUGAGCUGCCCCAGCGAUGAUCCAGCUUAGUCAACUGUGAUACUCAACUCCAAGAUUCCCAUGUGGGUUUUAAUAGCUCCUUUCUCCUACUGCUGUAUCUAUUUGACAAGAUGCUGUCACUGGUCAUCUUUAGUUCCAUAGACACAGCCUGUUUGUUUCAUUGACCAUGGUCUUCCACUGCCCCAGUUCAUCACUACCCACCCAAAGUUGGUAGUUGCCUUUGCCUACUUCCAGGCUGAUUUCCUUAUGGAUAUCUGUUUAGGGAACUAAAUUCAUCAGCUUCGUCAUGGCCAUCUUCCUGCAUCGCCUUUCUGAGAACCAGACACAGAAGCUUUGAGGUUGCUUUAGGGUGCAGCAUCCGUGACAGAAGCAAGCCCAGUUUUAAUACUGGCUGCUUGGUAUGAGGAAGUUGCAUUGGCAGCCCUUGGCCAUCUGAGCUACAGCCUCUAGAAGAGGCUUUAUCAGUACCUGCUGUGACAGGCCCAGAGGAGCCUAGCAAAUGGACAUUUACAAGAAAACCAAGCAUGUUAGGAAUCCAAAAAUAACAGAUAGAGGAGGCGCCCUGUGAGAACAUAGAUAUGGCGCUCGGGGGAUGUCUCGGCUCAGGAAGCUCCCUAACAGCCUGAGGACUUCCUGUUUCUACAGAUUCCACUUUGUGACACACUCAGAGUGGUCCAGCCAAGUGUGGCCCUGUGACAGUACAGUUACAGUCCCAUAGGACAGGAGAGGUGAAAAUCUGUAAGCCAUGCAGAAACGGCUGUAUCCCACCCAAAGCUUGUGUCACUCCUGAGUCUCCCGUUUCUAAUCUGUAAACCGAAGGUCUGGCAUGAAGAACUGCUGAGCUGUGAGCAGGGAUGACUGACUCUGUCCCCAUCUUCUUCCUCUGAGCAUUUGCAUACUUGCAUCUCUUGUGCUCUCUGUCUUCCCAUCCCUGGCCUCCCUCCUUCCCUCCCAUCUUAAACUCUGUCCUUGAACCCUCUCUCCAGAUUGCUUCCCUCUAGAGCUAUCCAAAUUCCCAGGAAGAAUGUUUUGACUGUACCAGUCUUUGAUUAUUUGCCCAACCCCAGAUCCAACAGCUUUGGCUGCAAGAGAACUCUGUUACCCAAGGUUUGCUUCCGUAUACAGUGCGCUCUAUCUCUUCUGCUCCAAGUCCAUCCCUCCAAACAGCGACAAGAACUAAACUUUAGAAAGGUCAGUGCCAAACACUUGGAUACAUGGAAACGGUGGGAAUCUGGACGGCUACGCUGUUCAGGUUGCCGCAAUGUCUAAUCUUUACCUUCAGUUUCAUUUCCAAUAUAAUCUAAGCAAGUUGCCCACGUAGAAAAAUUACCAGACAAGCAGUGAAAUUUAUCUGAUUUUAUUUUUUUUACACAUCUCUGGGCAUGGAAUGAAACUAGACAUUGGAAGGCAUGGUGUCACACACAGAGUAAGUACGAGUCUUCCCCAGCAAUCUCUAACAAUGUCAGGGGUAGAGAGAUGACUCAGAAGUUAAGGGCACUGGCUGCUCCUCCAGAGGGCUCAAGUUCAGUUCUCAGCACCAUGUCAAGCAGCUUCCAACAUCCAGGGGAUCCAAGGCCUCCUCAGAUACCUGGACUCAUGUACAUACCCACGUCAGACAUGCACACCUAUGAAGACAAUAGAAUAAAUUGGGAUAUUUUAAAAUAAAAUAACAGUCAGGUCCCCUAAAGUAUCAAAGUUAAUGAAGAUAAUAUGCUCAUCUUCUCUGCUGCGGAGGGGUGCAGCAUGUUCCUCAGAUACUUUGGGACUCUGUAACAAGAUGUUUGGAAAUAUGACACAAGACGUUCUAGCCAGAACUGGAGUGUAAUCCUUUCUGCUAUUAAACACAGGUGCCAGUUAGUGCCUUCUCUGCCAUCCCACACAGUUCUCACCAAGCCAUAAGAUGAGCGUGCUCUCCGUGACCAAGUCCAGCACACUGGCACCCCCUUUCCAGAGCAGAGCCGGCAUGCAUACAGGAAUCUGGUCCUCACUGCAUGGCCUUGGACAGAGGGGGCUAGUGGGGAAACCUCGGGAAUCUCCUCCUCCAGGAGUUGGCAUCGACCUGAAGAUGAGAGAUCACUGAGUCAAAGUCAGUGCCAGAGGAGCCUGGUGCAGGAGCCCUGCGGAAAAAAAUGGUGGGAUGAAGGACAGAGGUGCACCGGAUGAUCUGUGUGGUGCUGAGUUCAGCUGCGCUGGUCCCACCUCAGGGGUCAUCGUUCUCCAACUCUGCCAUGUAAUGAUCGACAUUUAAGUAAUAAUCCUGAAACUCGAGACUCAGAUGCAGUUACCCUGUGUGGCAAAGCAGAGCUAAGGUUUCGGUCACUGCUGAAAUCAUAGCUGGUAUCCACUCUGGGAACAGCUUCAGUACUUUAAGGAAUCCCAGACAGCUGAGGGCCAUGCUUGGCUGGCUGGGCUGAUUGUGGUCUGACUCUCACCUAUGAUAAUAAAGGGCCCUCACUGUAGAUUAACUGACCUCGGGUCUACCAUUUCAAACUCAGAGCUGAGCCUGCACCAAAAUGAGCAGAUGACAGCCAUUCUUCCGAAUGCACUGAUUAAUAGCUCGUGAAACCGAGGAUGGCAAAUCGGGCUUUUUAUCCACACCAGACUGACCCUUGGAAGGGACACAAAACACUAUCCACUGGCAGUUUCGCCACUGUUCCACAGAUAACCUGACAAGCCUAAUAAAGUGGCGGGUGUGUGGCUCCCAGUCUGUGCAGACAGAUGCAAAAGCAGGCCACAGCAAGGCUACAAUGUAAGACCCCGACCCUCCUCUGUCAGUGGUACUUAACUUCGAAAUGCAGAUCGAUGCAAAAGCAAGAGGUUUAUUUUCUGGCACACCAGGAGUCGACCUUCAACUAGUCCCUCAAGGCAGGUGACUAGAAGGCGACCCCAAAUGGCUAUUACAAGCAGUUUUUAUACUUUUGAGGGGCACAGGUUACAUCAGCAAGGUUACAGUUCAAACUCAUUGGCUAAGCAUAUUGACCUUUAAAUCUAUUGACUAGCAAGCAUGACACACAUUUGAACUCUACCUGGAACUUUCCAGAGGGUCGGGUAACUAUGUCAGUACAUUCUGAGAAUUUUUUUUACUCAAGAAUGUUCCUGUGGGUGGACAAUGGAACUUGGCCUAGCCUUGACUCCAAGUGGGAGGGGGAAGCCGUAAGGUGGGUGUGAAACUGGAAAACCCCUCAGGGUCCAUCAGGAUGAAGUAAGUCAAAUUGCCACUGUUGGCCCAGCUUUGCAACCGAGAAUUCAAAAGGCUGUUACCAUCGAUGUGUGCCCCUGGUGUUGACUCGGUGAGAACAGGCUUGGUACACCCUUGUUUUCUGAAAGGAUCGGUCCCAUGCUCCUAAGGGUCCCAUGCUUCCAAAGGUUUGCUCAACAGGCCCCACCACCGAGGAGGGUUGCAAGUGACACUCAGGGGCCCUAGUGUACUGGCAGGACUGGAGGCAGAUGACACAUGCAUUAGACUGUCUGUUCUGUGGAUCUUCCCGAGUACACAGACUGUCAUUUCCAGCUGCCUCCGGUGCCAAGCAAACCACUCUUCAGAUAUUGACCGAAUCGAGACGGAAGGUCACGGCCAUUGGCCAUUGCCGGCAGCAGGCCAGCCCUUCUGGAAACUCUGGAUUUUGAGAGACUGUCUGCAAUGUUCACUUUGCUCACUCAGGAGACUCACACCCCACAACUACUGCCUUCUCUAUCUAGGAUCUCCCGGGGACUGAGUCCAGCUAACACUAGCACUAUCCAGGACCCAUGGACUAGCUGAAAUCCUGAGCCCAGAACAAAGCCUUGAGGCUCAAGUCACCAACAUCAGAGAGGCACCCAUGAGACAAUGGCCUCUGCUCCUGCUCUCCUCAGAGUGACAUCGCAAGGAGGCGUGGGAAGGAUGGACUAUGAAUCCCUGACGGCAGAUCCUUAGUGUGUACUGUGUUCAUCACUGGUAUGAAAUAAAUCCUUGGUUGAGUCUGUAGUUCCCAGCCAAGGAACACUGAGAGGGUGGACUUGGUGCAGGAAAAAUAAAAUAGCAUAAGUGUCUGUGCAAUAAACACCGAUGCAGCACCAGACCUGGUCAGCACUUGCCAAAAGAGCAGGUGCAGCGGCACGUGCCCGACUCUCAGCAGGCUGAGCUUGCAGCUCAAGAUACACAGCAAGGUCAAGGAACCCACGUUAUGUUGCAGUUCCCUUCUAGAAAGAAAGAGAGCGAUUGAGAGCAAGAGAGACAGACAGACAGAGAGGAUGAGGUGGGGGAGGGAGGGAGAGAGAGAGUCAGAAGAGCCAAAUCAAGAUACCUUUUAAACUUGAUCCAACGUUGGUAGCCCACUAUAGAUAAGGACACUAGAAAGGCAUGAGGACCUUAAGGUGUGGGAAGACUUAAAAGCUCUUUUGAGUAGAUGUGCUAUAGAUUCUUGUUUUCAUCAGUUCUGAUUAUAAUUUUAUAACAUGCAUUUACUGGGCUGUGUCUCAGGGAUACUAAUAUGCUAAUUUUAAGUCACUUAUUUCUGCUCACAUGUAUGAAACUCAACUUCUUCGUGCAUUUUAUAACUGGAUUUUCCCACACAAGAAGACUAACAUAUGUGGCACCUACCUUAUUUUAUUACUAUGCCUAAUGAAAAAUGCUCUAUCAUUUUGGGGGUAUUUUGAACUUCAAACACA
rnacentral:lncRNA from 1 species